rnacentral:rRNA from 1 species
CGGUAAAGCUCUGUGGGGAGGGAAGAACAAGCUUGUGGCUAACAUCCACGAGCCCUGACGGUACCUCCUUAGCAAGCACCGGCUAACUCCGUGC